rnacentral:rRNA from 1 species
CCUACGGGUGGCAGUAGUGAGGAAUAUUGGUCAAUGGACGAGAGUCUGAACCAGCCAAGUAGCGUGAAGGAUGACUGCCCUAUGGGUUGUAAACUUCUUUUAUAUGGGAAUAAAACGUUCCACGUGUGGGAUUUUGUAUGUACCAUAUGAAUAAGGAUCGGCUAACUCCGUGCCAGCAGCCGCGGUAAUACGGAGGAUCCGAGCGUUCUCCGGAUUUAUUGGGUUUAAAGGGAGCGUAGGUGGAUUGUUAAGUCAGUUGUGAAAGUUUGCGGCUCAACCGUAAAAUUGCAGUUGAAACUAGCAGUCUUGAGUACAGUAGAGGUGGGCGGAAUUCGUGGUGUAGCGGUGAAAUGCUUAGAUAUCACGAAGAACUCCGAUUGCGAAGGCAGUUCACUGGACUGCAACUGACACUGAGGCUCGAAAGUGUGGGUAUCAAACAGGAUUAGAUACCCGAGUAGUC